AUACUUACCUGGCAAGGAAGAUAGCAUGAUCACGAAGGUGGUUUUUCAGGGCAAGGCCUAUUCAUUGCACUCUAGAUGUGCUGAUCUCUGUAAUUUCCCCAAAUGUGAGAAACUUGACCGCAUAAUUUGUGGUAGUUGGGGGACUGUGUUCACUCUCUCCAG